rnacentral:rRNA from 1 species
ACGCACGCUGGCGGCAUGCCUCACCCCUGCAAGUCGCACGAGACCUUCGGGUCUAGUGGCGCACGGGUGCGUAACGCGUGGGAACCUGCCCUUAGGUUCGGAAUAACUCCCCGAAAGGGGUGCUAAUACCGGAUAAUGUCUUCGGACCAAAGAUUUAUCGCCUUUGGAUGGGCCCGCGUUGGAUUAGCUAGUUGGUAGGGUAAAAGCCUACCAAGGCGACGAUCCAUAGCUGGUCUGAGAGGAUGAUCAGCCACACUGGGACUGAGACACGGCCCAGACUCCUACGGGAGGCAGCAGUGGGGAAUAUUGGACAAUGGGCGAAAGCCUGAUCCAGCAAUGCCGCGUGAGUGAUGAAGGCCUUAGGGUUGUAAAGCUCUUUUACCCGGGAUGAUAAUGACAGUACCGGGAGAAUAAGCUCCGGCUAACUCCGUG